AGAUUUCCUUCAGAGUCUCACUUUGAGGUGUCCAGAUUAGCAUGAGAUCAUCAUAAUCUUCCAGCCUACAAAAAAGAGAUCAGCUGUAGUGGAGCACUCAUACAGGUCCCAACCUACAUGGAUUUUUACUUAAACAAGCAACAGAGACUCUUUCCCACGAGAGUGCUAUUCAUAGCCAGGGUCAAUCUAACUCUGAAUAAGAAAAUCCAGCAAUUUUACCAGAACAGCAGUAGAAUUCAUCAGUCACCCAUGCUGAGACUAUGGCACAAAGAAUUGAGCGGUGCAUCCAAAAGCAGCAGCGAAGAACCUGCGGCUGUGUUGGGCUGCCAGAAGGAACAACUGCAACAAACUGCAGGGGAAACCCUCUGGGCCGGGAGCAGGCGGCUACCUCGGCUACCACAGCAACACCCCAGGAAGAGUCGCGCUGGGCUGUCCCGACGAGCCCGUCCCGGCUCCGGGCGGUGACACCGGGGCUGGCGGAGCCCCGCGCGGUCUCUGCCGCCACCCGGCGGCCCCGCCAGGCACGGGCAGCGGCGCCUUCGCUUACUUAGGAUGCACAAAGCUCCUCAUCUUCCUGCUCGGGAACCGGGACCGGCCCGCGGGGCUCCCCACAAACGUGCUGCUGCAGGGAGAACUCCUGUUAUGUUCCAGGGUCCCACUGCUCACAUAGGGAAGUGCCUGUAUGCAAUACGUGUAAG